rnacentral:rRNA from 1 species
GACGGAGGGGGCUAGCGUUGUUCGGAAUUACUGGGCGUAAAGGGCGCGUAGGCGGAUUAGUAAGUUGGGAGUGAAAGCCCGGGGCUUGAACCUCGGAACGUGCUUUCAAAACUGCUAGUCUUGAGUGAAGUAGGGGGUGAUGGAAUUCCUAGUGUAGAGGUGAAAUUCUUAGAUAUUAGGAGGAACACCGGUGGCGAAGGCGGUCACCUGGACUUCAACUGACGCUGAGGCGCGAAAGCGUGGGGAGCAAACAGG